CCUACGGGUGGCAGCAGUGGGGAAUAUUGCGCAAUGGGCGAAAGCCUGACGCAGCGACGCCGCGUGAGGGAUGAAGGUCUUCGGAUCGUAAACCUCUGUCAGCAGGGAAGAACGGUCACUGUGCUAAUCAGCAGUGAAUUGACGGUACCUGCAAAGGAAGCACCGGCUAACUCCGUGCCAGCAGCCGCGGUAAUACGGAGGGUGCGAGCGUUAAUCGGAAUUACUGGGCGUAAAGCGCUCGUAGGCGGUAUGUCAAGUCACGGGUGAAAUCCCCGCGCUCAACGUGGGAACUGCCUUUGAAACAGGCAAACUGGAGUUUGGGAGAGGAUAGUGGAAUUCCAGGUGUAGGAGUGAAAGCCGUAGAUAUCUGGAGGAACAUCAGUGGCGAAGGCGACUAUCUGGCACAUAACUGACGCUGAGGAGCGAAAGCGUGGGUAGCAAACAGGAUUAGAUACCCCAGUAGGC
rnacentral:rRNA from 1 species